GUGCUUUACACAUGCAAGUCGAGCGAGGCGCGGGGGCAACCCCGCAGUCGAGCGGCGAACGGGUGAGUAACGCGUGGAUAACCUGCCCUGAGGCGGGGAACAACCGAGGGAAACUUCGGCUAAUACCGCAUGAUACCGAGAGGUCAAAGGGGGCUCGCAAGGGCUCUCGCCACAGGAGGGGUCCGCGUCCGAUUAGCUUGUUGGUGAGGUAAUGGCUCACCAAGGCGACGAUCGGUAGCCGGCCUGAGAGGGUGAUCGGCCACACUGGAACUGAGACACGGUCCAGA
rnacentral:rRNA from 1 species